rnacentral:rRNA from 1 species
ACUUACCAGGUCAAGACAUGGGCGUGAUUGACAGGCUAAUGACUUUUCUCGAUUCCAUGGAUGGUGGUGCAUGGUCGCACUUAGUUGGUGCAGUGAUUUGUCAGGUUUAUUCCGGUAACGAACGAAACCUCGGCCUUGUAAAUAGCUAUGCUGCUUACAGGGACAUUGGCGGCUACGCCAAGGAAGCUCGAGGCAAUUGCAGAUCUGGAAUGCCCUUAGAUGUCCUGGGUCGCACGCGUGCUACAAUGACGCCACGAACGAGCUUGCGUGAUGAAAGUUACGCAUAAUCAGCAGUCGGCGUCUUAAGGGAUAGUCUCUUGUAACUGUGGGACUCCAACUAGGAAUGUCUCGUAAGCACAAGUCAACAUCUUGUGUUGAUUACGUCCCUGCUCUUUGUACACACCGCCCGUCGCUCCUACCGAUCGAGUGUUUAGGUGAAUUUGAUGGACGUGAGGAAGUCAAAUAAACCUGAGCACUAGAGAAGAGAAGUCUACUCAUGU